CUUUACAGGUAGAUUUAUUUGCUCAUUACACAUUAUGUGUAAUCCUUCGUUUUUUUUUUUUAUUAUGUCGUUCGUGUUGCUUGUCAUUUCAGAACGCUGUCAUCCGAGUCAUUAGUUGCAACAACAAAAUGGAGAACGCUAAAUUGCCAUGAAUUUGUCGACGGAAGGAAAGUCCACUUCCCAAAUUGUAGAAUCUUCAGAGACCAAAUGUAUGGCAGCCUUUUUCGCUACAGAGGAGGGAAGCGCGGUACUGUACGAAGCUGUCAAGAAAUUCAUGUCUACUUCAGAAGGCGUAAUGAUUGUGGAAAACGCUAUUGUGGCAGCAAUUGGAAGACGUGACUGGCAGAUCAAUAACCGUAAUCUUCUUGAAAGCCGUCGUCGCCGAUCAAAAUGAAGAUUUUCAGAUACCUCGUUGCUUAAUUGUAAUCCAAAUUAUCGGGAUUUCGGGAAGUUAAGUAAUUCUUUUGCUGGAAAUUUUUUAUCUUUAAAGUGAAUACUGUCUAUGUUUUUAUGUACAAUGUGUCAUUUUUACUGGUAAUUUAUCAAAAUGUAUUUAUUUUUGGACUAGAACAAAACAGCGCCUAAUAAAGUGAUUAAUUGCCCUUA